rnacentral:rRNA from 1 species
GAUGGACGCUGGCGGCGUGCCUAAUACAUGCAAGUCGAGCGAACAGACGAGGAGCUUGCUCCUCUGACGUUAGCGGCGGACGGGUGAGUAACACGUGGAUAACCUACCUAUAAGACUGGGAUAACUUCGGGAAACCGGAGCUAAUACCGGAUAAUAUAUUGAACCGCAUGGUUCAAUAGUGAAAGACGGUUUUGCUGUCACUUAUAGAUGGAUCCGCGCCGCAUUAGCUAGUUGGUAAGGUAACGGCUUACCAAGGCAACGAUGCGUAGCCGACCUGAGAGGGUGAUCGGCCACACUGGAACUGAGACACGGUCCAGACUCCGACGGGAGGCAGCAGUAGGGAAUCUUCCGCAAUGGGCGAAAGCCUGACGGAGCAACGCCGCGUGAGUGAUGAAGGUCUUCGGAUCGUAAAACUCUGUUAUUAGGGAAGAACAAAUGUGUAAGUAACUAUGCACGUCUUGACGGUACCUAAUCAGAAAGCCACGGCUAACUACGUG